CCCUUAGAUGUUCUGGGCGGCCCGCGCACUACAUUGGCACUAGCAAAGAGAUCCUAGAUUGAAUUCUUUGGGGUAUUCUUCUAAAUGGUGUCGUGACUGGGAUAAAUCCUUGUAAUUAUUGGUUUUGAACGAGGAAUUCCUUGUAAUCGCGGUUUAUCAGCUCGCGUUGAAUGCGUCCCUGCCCUUUGUACACACCGCCCGUCGCUCCUACCGACGGAUCGUCCGGUGAAGCUCACGGAGUGACUGUUCACGCAACGGUUUACGAAGUGAAAUGGACCUCACGAUUUAGAGGAAGGAGAAGUCGUAACA
rnacentral:rRNA from 1 species